AAAUCCUAGAAGCAGCGGCGACACUGGUAUCCUUAGCGGAGCCAUCGUACACGGGCGUCGACACAUACCUACGGCCAAGGCUCGCAAAAAGCGCCCUAAUUUUAGCGGUUUCACCUGCGGACAUCAUUGGCCCGUGCAUUGUAUGGGGCGAGGUGAAGCAGCUGGUAUUCGGCAAAAAGCCCAGAGAUAUCGUGAAGCUGCAACCAGACACAUCACUGGAAAAAGCCCUCGUGCUUUGUUUGUGUGUGCAUUACGUAAAGGACAUUACGUAUCCGGCUGCUUUCGGGCUUCGUUCAAGCAGUGGUAAGAUGUGCCGGCAUCGACGAAAUUUCAUGGGCGCAAGAAAGACUACGCGAUUUUUUGACGGAACUACACUUCGUUAAGUACAUAGCAAAGUUCAAGUGCUGCGUUAAAGCGACAUCAGGAGUUCAUCUGGAGCCUAUCUUAUCAUUUCUGUGCUUUUUUUCUCCGAUUGUUCUAUAUAGGGAAGCGUUCUUGUAAGUUAUUGUGAAUAAAAAGUUUCACUCAA